CUAGAGCAAGAAGUGAGAUAAAUAGACAAAAUUAGAAAACUGCAGUUCUCUUUCAGAACAGACUAGUAAAUAUUUAACUAUAACUUAAAAGAUAAAAGGAAGGAAAGCAUCAAAAGUAA